rnacentral:rRNA from 1 species
ACACAGGUGCUGCAUGGCUGUCGUCAGCUCGUGUCGUGAGAUGUUGGGUUAAGUCCCGCAACGAGCGCAACCCUUGUCAUUAGUUGCUACGAAAGGGCACUCUAAUGAGACUGCCGGUGACAAACCGGAGGAAGGUGGGGAUGACGUCAAGUCCUCAUGGCCCUUAUGGGUAGGGCUUCACACGUCAUACAAUGGUACAUACAGAGGGCCGCCAACCCGCGAGGGGGAGCUAAUCCCAGAAAGUGUAUCGUAGUCCGGAUUGUAGUCUGCAACUCGACUGCAUGAAGUUGGAAUCGCUAGUAAUCGCGGAUCAGCAUGUCGCGGUGAAUACGUUCCCGGGUCUUGUACACACCGCCCGUCACACCAUGGGAGCGGGUUUUACCAGAAGUAGGUAGCUUAACCGUAAGGAGGGCGCUUACCACGGUAGGAUUCGUGACUGGGGUGAAGUCGUAACAAGGUAGCCGUAUCGGAAGGUGCGGCUGGAUCACCUCCUUUCUAG